rnacentral:rRNA from 1 species
CCUACGGGAGGCUGCAGUGGGGAAUAUUGGGCAAUGGGCGCAAGCCUGACCCAGCAACGCCGCGUGAAGGAAGAAGGCUUUCGGGUUGUAAACUUCUUUUAAGAGGGAAGAGCAGAAGACGGUACCUCUUGAAUAAGCCACGGCUAACUACGUGCCAGCAGCCGCGGUAAUACGUAGGUGGCAAGCGUUGUCCGGAUUUACUGGGUGUAAAGGGCGUGUAGCCGGGCUGACAAGUCAGAUGUGAAAUCCGGGGGCUCAACCCCCGAACUGCAUUUGAAACUGUUGGUCUUGAGUAUCGGAGAGGCAGGCGGAAUUCCUAGUGUAGCGGUGAAAUGCGUAGAUAUCAUACAGAACACCGAUUGCGAAGGCAGCUUACCAAACUACGACUGACGUUGAGGCACGAAAGCGUGGGGAGCAAACAGGAUUAGAUACCCUAGUAGUC